UGCCAGCCGCCGCGGUAAUACGGAGGGGGUUAGCGUUGUUCGGAAUUACUGGGCGUAAAGCGCGCGUAGGCGGACUAUUAAGUCAGGGGUGAAAUCCCGGGGCUCAACCCCGGAACUGCCUUUGAUACUGUUGGUCUUGAAUACGGUUGAAGUAGGCGGAAUGUAGCAUGUAGCGGUGAAAUGCAUAGAGAUGCUACAGAACACCGAUCGCGAAGGCAGCUUACUAAGCCGAUAUUGACGCUCAGGCACGAAAGCGUGGGGAGCAAACCGGAUUAGAUA
rnacentral:rRNA from 1 species